rnacentral:ribozyme from 1 species
GACGAGAGACGAGAGAAGAGAGAAGAGAGAAGAAGAAAAAAGGGGGAAAAGUUCUUCGAGGCUUCUGGAUCUCGCUGGUCUCUUUCGUUUUCUCCUCCAGAAGCAUAUAGUUUGUGUGUUUUCUUCUGCUUUUCUUCUUCUUCUUCUUCUUCUUCGUUUUGGGGGCGA